ACAUGGACAGGUGAGAUACAGGUGAGAGACAGGUGAGACAUGGACAGGUGAGACAUGGACAGGUGAGACAGGUGAGACAUGGACAGGUGAGACAGGUGAGACAUGGACAGGUG
rnacentral:lncRNA from 1 species